GUCGACGGUGAAGCUCCAGCUUGCUGGAGUGGAUCAGUGGCGAACGGGUGAGUAACACGUGAGCAACCUGCCCCAAACUCUGGAAUAAGCGCUGGAAACGGCGUCUAAUACUGGAUACGAGACCAACCUGCAUGGGUAUGGUUUGGAAAGUUUUUCGGUUUGGGAUGGGCUCGCGGCCUAUCAGCUUGUUGGUGAGGUAAUGGCUCACCAAGGCGACGACGGGUAGCCGGCCUGAGAGGGCGACCGGCCACACUGGGACUGAGACACGGCCCAGACUCCUACGGGAGGCAGCAGUGGGGAAUAUUGCACAAUGGGCGAAAGCCUGAUGCAGCGACGCCGCGUGAGGGAUGACGGCCUUCGGGUUGUAAACCUCUUUCAGCAGGGAAGAAGCGAAAGUGACGGUACCUGCAGAAGAAGCACCGGCUAACUACGUGCCAGCAGCCGCGGUAAUACGUAGGGUGCGAGCGUUGUCCGGAAUUAUUGGGCGUAAAGAGCUUGUAGGCGGUUUGUCGCGUCUGCUGUGAAAAUCCGGGGCUCAACCCCGGACUUGCAGUGGGUACGGGCAGACUAGAGUGUGGUAGGGGAGACUGGAAUUCCUGGUGUAGCGGUGAAAUGCGCAGAUAUCAGGAGGAAC
rnacentral:rRNA from 1 species